UACAGAGGUCUCAAGCGUUGUUCGGAUUCAUUGGGCGUAAAGGGUGCGUAGGUGGCGAGGUAAGUCGGAUGUGAAAGCUCGGAGCUCAACUCCGAAACUGCAUUCGAUACUGCCGUGCUUGAGGACUGGAGAGGAGACUGGAAUUUACGGUGUAGCGGUGAAAUGCGUAGAUAUCGUAAGGAAGACCAGUGGCGAAGGCGGGUCUCUGGACAGUUCCUGACGCUGAGGCACGAAGGUCAGGGGAGCAAACGGG
rnacentral:rRNA from 1 species